GAUGAACGCUGGCGGCGUGCCUAAUACAUGCAAGUCGAGCGAACAGACGAGGAGCUUGCUCCUCUGACGUUAGCGGCGGACGGGGGAGUAACACGUGGAUAACCUACCUAUAAGACUGGGAUAACUUCGGGAAACCGGAGCUAAUACCGGAUAAUAUACUGAACCGCAUGGUUCAAUAGUGAAAGACGGUUUUGCUGUCACUUAUAGAUGGAUCCGCGCCGCAUUAGCUAGUUGGUAAGGUAACGGCUUACCAAGGCGACGAUGCGUAGCCGACCUGAGAGGGUGAUCGGCCACACUGGAACUGAGACACGGUCCAGACUCCUACGGGAGGCAGCAGUAGGGAAUCUUCCGCAAUGGGCGAAAGCCUGACGGAGCAACGCCGCGUGAGUGUUGAAGGUCUUCGGAUCGUAAAACUCUGUUAUUAGGGAAGAACAAAUGUGUAAGUAACUAUGCACGUCUUGACGGUACCUAAUCAGAAAGCCACGGCUAACUACGUG
rnacentral:rRNA from 1 species